GCUGGAAACGGCGUCUAAUACUGGAUACGAACCACGAAGGCAUCUUCAGUGGUUGGAAAGAUUUUUUGGUCUGGGAUGGGCUCGCGGCCUAUCAGCUAGUUGGUGAGGUAAUGGCUCACCAAGGCGUCGACGGGUAGCCGGCCUGAGAGGGUGACCGGCCACACUGGGACUGAGACACGGCCCAGACUCCUACGGGAGGCAGCAGUGGGGAAUAUUGCACAAUGGGCGCAAGCCUGAUGCAGCAACGCCGCGUGAGGGAUGACGGCCUUCGGGUUGUAAACCUCUUUUAGCAAGGAAGAAGCGAAAGUGACGGUACUUGCAGAAAAAGCGCCGGCUAACUACGUGCCAGCAGCCGCGGUAAUACGUAGGGCGCAAGCGUUAUCCGGAAUUAUUGGGCGUAAAGAGCUCGUAGGCGGUUUGUCGCGUCUGCUGUGAAAAACCCGAAGCUCAACCUCGGGCCUGCAGUGGGUACGGGCAGACUAGAGUGCGGUAGGGGAGAUUGGAAUUCCUGGUGUAGCGGUGGAAUGCGCAGAUAUCAGGAGGAACACCGAUGGCGAAGGCAGAUCUCUGGGCCGUAACUGACGCUGAGGAGCGAAAGGGUGGGGGAGCAAACAGGCUUAGAUACCCUGGUAGUCCACCCCGUAAACGUUGGGAACUAGUUGUGGGGUCCAUUCCACGGAUUCCGUGACGCAGCUAACGCAUUAAGUUCCCCGCCUGGGGAGUACGGCCGCAAGGCUAAAACUCAAAGGAAUUGACGGGGACCCGCACAAGCGGCGGAGCAUGCGGAUUAAUUCGAUGCAACGCGAAGAACCUUACCAAGGCUUGACAUACACGAGAACGCUGCAGAAAUGUAGAACUCUUUGGACACUCGUGAACAGGUGGUGCAUGGUUGUCGUCAGCUCGUGUCGUGAGAUGUUGGGUUAAGUCCCGCAACGAGCGCAACCCUCGUUCUAUGUUGCCAGCACGUAAUGGUGGGAACUCAUGGGAUACUGCCGGGGUCAACUCGGAGGAAGGUGGGGAUGACGUCAAAUCAUCAUGCCCCUUAUGUCUUGGGCUUCACGCAUGCUACAAUGGCCGGUACAAAGGGCUGCAAUACCGUGAGGUGGAGCGAAUCCCAAAAAGCCGGUCCCAGUUCGGAUUGAGGUCUGCAACUCGACCUCAUGAAGUCGGAGUCGCUAGUAAUCGCAGAU
rnacentral:rRNA from 1 species